AUUGAACGCUGGCGGCAGGCCUAACACAUGCAAGUCGAGCGGAGCGGCGGACGGGUGAGUAAUGCCUAGGAAUCUGCCUGGUAGCGGGGGAUAACGUCCGGAAACGGGCGCUAAUACCGCAUACUAUCAGAUGAGCCUAGGUCGGUUUGGCUAGUUGGGGGGGUAAAGGCCUACCCGGGCGACGAUCCGUAACUGGUCUGAGAGGAAGAUCAGUCAAACUGGAACUGGGACACGGUCCAGACUCCUACGGGAGGCAGCAGGGGGGAAUAUUGGACAAUGGGCGAAGGCCUGAUCCAGCCAUGCCGCGGGUGUGAGGAGGGUCUUCGGAUUUAAAAGCACUUUAAGUUGGGAGGCGUUACCAGCAGAAUAAGCACCGGCUAACUUCGUGCCAGCAGCCGCGGUAAUAC
rnacentral:rRNA from 1 species